UACAGAGGUCCCAAGCGUUGUUCGGAUUCACUGGGCGUAAAGGGUGCGUAGGCGGUCGGGUAAGUCUGAUGUGAAAGCUCAGGGCUUAACCCUGAAAUGGCAUUGAAUACUGCCGUGCUGGAGGUUUGGAGGGGGGACUGGAAUUCUUGGUGUAGCAGUGAAAUGCGUAGAUAUCAAGAGGAACACCAGUGGCGAAGGCGAGUCCCUGGACAACACCUGACACUGAGGCACGAAAGCUAGGGGAGCAAACAGG
rnacentral:rRNA from 1 species